rnacentral:rRNA from 1 species
AUUGAACGCUGGCGGCAGGCUUAACACAUGCAAGUCGAGCGAGCGGCGGACGGGUGAGUAAUGUCUAGGAAACUGCCUGAUGGAGGGGGAUAACUACUGGAAACGGUAGCUAAUACCGCAUACCAUCAGAUGGGCCCAGAUGGGAUUAGCUAGGAGGUGGGGUAACGGCUCACCUAGGCGCCGAUCCCUAGCUGGUCUGAGAGGAUGACCAGCCACACUCGAACUGAGACUCGGUCCAUACUCCUACGGGAGGCCGCAGUGGGGAAUAUUGCACAAUGGGCGCAAGCCUGAUGCAGCCAUGCCGCGUGUGUGAAGAAGGCCUUCGGGUUGUAAAGCACUUUCAGCGGGUAGGCGUUAUCCGCAGAAGAAGCACCGGCUAACUCCGUGCCAGCCGCCGCGGUAAUAC